rnacentral:rRNA from 1 species
CCUACGGGAGGCAGCAGUGGGGAAUUUUGGACAAUGGGCGAAAGCCUGAUCCAGCAAUGCCGCGUGAGUGAAGAAGGCCUUCGGGUUGUAAAGCUCUUUUGUCAGGGAAGAAACGGUGAGAGCUAAUAUCUCUUGCUAAUGACGGUACCUGAAGAAUAAGCACCGGCUAACUACGUGCCAGCAGCCGCGGUAAUACGUAGGGUGCAAGCGUUAAUCGGAAUUACUGGGCGUAAAGCGUGCGCAGGCGGUUUUGUAAGUCUGUCGUGAAAUCCCCGGGCUCAACCUGGGAAUUGCGAUGGAGACUGCAAGGCUAGAAUCUGGCAGAGGGGGGUAGAAUUCCACGUGUAGCAGUGAAAUGCGUAGAGAUGUGGAGGAACACCGAUGGCGAAGGCAGCCCCCUGGGUCAAGAUUGACGCUCAUGCACGAAAGCGUGGGGAGCAAACAGGAUUAGAUACCCUGGUAGUCCACGCCCUAAACGAUGUCUACUAGUUGUCGGGUUUUAAUUAACUUGGUAACGCAGCUAACGCGUGAAGUAGACCGCCUGGGGAGUACGGUCGCAAGAUUAAAACUCAAAGAGUAGUAGGACGUGAGAGAGCGACGACGACGACGACGGAGGAGGAGG